CCCUUAGAUGUUCUGGGCUGCACACGUGCUACACUGGCAGGUUCAGCGAGCUUCAUGCCCUGAUCUGAAAGGAAUGGGAAAUCUUUUCAAAACCUGCCGUGCUUGGGAUAGAUGUUUGCAAUUAUUCAUCUUCAACGAGGAUUGCCUUGUAAGCGCACGUCAUCAGCGUGCAUUGAAUACGGCCCUGUAUUCUGUACACACCGCCCGUCGCUCCCACCGAUUGAAGUUUUCGGUGAGUUGACAGGAGGAUUUUUUUGAAACUGGUUCGCCAGUGGAUUUUAGAUCCAAAUGCCAACGAAUCGAUGGCUUUAGAGGAAGGAGAAGUCGUAACA
rnacentral:rRNA from 1 species